rnacentral:rRNA from 1 species
GCUGUCGUCAGCUCGUGUUGUGAAAUGUUGGGUUAAGUCCCGCAACGAGCGCAACCCUUAUCCUUUGUUGCCAGCGGUCCGGCCGGGAACUCAAAGGAGACUGCCAGUGAUAAACUGGAGGAAGGUGGGGAUGACGUCAAGUCAUCAUGGCCCUUACGACCAGGGCUACACACGUGCUACAAUGGCGCAUACAAAGAGAAGCGACCUCGCGAGAGCAAGCGGACCUCAUAAAGUGCGUCGUAGUCCGGAUUGGAGUCUGCAACUCGACUCCAUGAAGUCGGAAUCGCUAGUAAUCGUGGAUCAGAAUGCCACGGUGAAUACGUUCCCGGGCCUUGUACACACCGCCCGUCACACCAUGGGAGUG